rnacentral:lncRNA from 1 species
UGGUCCCUGGGGUUGAGCUCUGAGCUUGGUGAUCAUGGCUGCACCCUGCUGGUCAUGAGCACAACUGCAGGGAGGUUUUUGUCUGGGCUCACAUUGAUGUCCUCUCACUGUGUCUUGCACAGUAAUACACGGCGGUGUCCUCGGUGGUCACGGAGUUCAACUGCAGGAAAAUCUGGUUCUUGCCUGCGUCACCAGUGAUGGAGAUGCGGUCCUGGAAAGCUGGGUUGUAGUUUGUACUACCUCCUGCAUAGUACCCCAUCCACUGUAGAGCUUUCCCAGGAGGCUGACGGAUCCAACUCCAAGCAUAGCUACUUAUGGAACCCCCUGUGACUGUGCAGGUGAGGGACAGGGUCUGCGAUGGCUUCACCAGGCUAGGUCCUGACUCCCGAAGUGUCAGAUCAGACAGGACACCUGAAGGCAAGGAGAGUCAUGGCUCUUUGUGACUCCCUCCAAAUAUGGACACACUGCCGCUGUGAGUUCUUGUGCAGACAGUUUCCACACCAACUCUGGAGAAUAAUAGAAGAAGAGGAAAGUGUGUUGAUGAAGAAACCCUGCAAGGAGCAGUGGACUGGUAUAGUCCUUGUCUUUAAUAAAGUUGAGACAGCAAAAACCUUAUCCAUUCCUAAAGUAAGAAGAGA